GCCGGCUUAGCUCAGUUGGUAGAGCAGUUGAUUUGUAAUCAUCAGGCCACGCGUUCGAAUCGUGUAGCCGGCACCA
rnacentral:tRNA from 2 species